rnacentral:rRNA from 1 species
AGUGAACGCUGGCGGUAGGCCUAACACAUGCAAGUCGAACGGCAGCACAGUAAGAGCUUGCUCUUACGGGUGGCGAGUGGCGGACGGGUGAGGAAUACAUCGGAAUCUACUUUUUCGUGGGGGAUAACGUAGGGAAACUUACGCUAAUACCGCAUACGACCUACGGGUGAAAGCAGGGGAUCUUCGGACCUUGCGCGAUUGAAUGAGCCGAUGUCGGAUUAGCUAGUUGGCGGGGUAAAGGCCCACCAAGGCGACGAUCCGUAGCUGGUCUGAGAGGAUGAUCAGCCACACUGGAACUGAGACACGGUCCAGGCUCCUACGGGAGGCAGCAGUGGGGAAUAGUGGACAAUGGGCGCAAGCCUGAUCCAGCCAUACCGCGUGGGUGAAGAAGGCCUUCGGGUUGUAAAGCCCUUUUGUUGGGAAAGAAAAGCAGCAUGUUAAUACCCCGCUGUUCUGACGGUACCCAAAGAAUAAGCACCGGCUAACUUCGUG